UCGGGAGGUAGCAAUAUCGACCGGUCGGAGUGGCGCAAGGGUGCGUAAUACGUGGGUAAUUUGCCGUGAAGUCUGGAAUAACCUGCUGAAAGGCAAGCUAAUGCCGGAUGAGAUCGCUGACGAGCAUUCGUUGGCGAUGAAAGUUGGGGUCGCAAGACCUGACGUUUCACGAUAAGCCCGCGGCCUAUCAGCUAGUUGGCGAGGUAAAGGCUCACCAAGGCUAAGACGGGUAGCUGGUCUGAGAGGACGACCAGUCACACUGGAACUGAGACACGGUCCAGACACCUACGGGUGGCAGCAGUCGAGAAUUUUUCACAAUGGGCGAAAGCCUGAUGGAGCGACGCCGCGUGGGGGAUGAAUGGCUUCGGCCCGUAAACCCCUGUCAUUUGCGAACAAUGCGUCCCCGUGAACAACGGGAGGCGUUGAUAGUAGCAGAAGAGGAAGAGACGGCUAACUCUGUGCCAGCAGCCGCGGUAAUACAGAGGUCUCAAGCGUUGUUCGGAUUUACUGGGCGUAAAGGGUGUGUAGGCGGUUGGGUAAGUCUGAAGUGAAAUCUCUAGCUCAACUUAGAAAAUGCUUCGGAUACUAUCCGGCUAGAGGGUCGGAGAGGAGAUCGGAAUUCUCGGUGUAGCAGUGAAAUGCGUAGAUAUCGAGAGGAACAUCAGUGGCGAAAGGCGGAUCUCUGGACGAAUCCUGACGCUGAGGCACGAAAGCCAGGUAGCAACGGGAUUAGAUACCCCGGUAGUCCUGGCUGUAAACGGUGCGCACUUGCUGUGAGCGGA
rnacentral:rRNA from 1 species